AUACGGAGGAUGCGAGCGUUAUCCGGAUUUAUUGGGUUUAAAGGGAGUGUAGGUGGGAUAUUAAGUCAGCUGUGAAAGUUUGGGGCUCAACCUUAAAAUUGCAGUUGAUACUGGUUUCCUUGAGUACGGUACAGGUGGGCGGAAUUCGUGGUGUAGCGGUGAAAUGCUUAGAUAUCACGAAGAACUCCGAUCGCGAAGGCAGCUCACCGGGCCGGAACUGACACUGAUGCUCGAAAGUGCGGGUAUCAAACAGGAUUAGAUACCCUGGUAGUCCGCACAGUAAACGAUGAAUACUCGCUGUUUGCGAUACACUGUAAGCGGCCAAGCGAAAGCGUUAAGUAUUCCACCUGGGGAGUACGCCGGCAUCGGUGAAACUCAAAUGAAUUGACGGG
rnacentral:rRNA from 1 species